CUCUGUCCCUUAGACAUACAAAGUCCCUAUACAACCAUAAACUCUGAGAACUGCGUCACACAUGGCGUGGGGCCCCCAAUGGAUCCCCUGAUGUAGUUGGGCAAGGCAACCGUGCACCCUUACAGAUGGAGUAAUGCAUGCGGCAUCUUAAAACUGAGAGGCUGAAGUCAGAGGUGACAGAGGAAGGAUAUGGCAAAGCCACUCCACUUGACAAUGCACUUUAAAAACCACACUGAUGUUAUAAAACCCAGAUAUUUUACUGCACAUGUUUAUUGGCUGAUUUGCACAAUACUUCCAUUAUAAUUAUUGGACGGAUACAAAAUGAAAAGAAUAUUUUUAACAAAACACUUGCAUGAUGCAGCCAUACCCAUUCUUAAUGAUCAUUAAUGUCUUAUCCAAAGAGAACUGUACUUUGUUUCAUUUACUGAAGGUCAGCAUACUAGAAGCAGUUGUCAUCACAUCUCAGACCUUUUUGCAUAUUUUUCCACGUUGUUCUGAGCCUGCAUGUGCUCAGACUGGUUGAUUGGUAUGCAGAUUGUCUGUCAUUAAAGCCAUUUGGAAAUCAGCUUUGUCACUGGUUUAGUGUUGGAACUUCAGAUCCUAGAAGACACCACUGGAAAGCUCUGUGCACUCAGAAAGGGAAGGUGUGUGACCCUGCUGAGCCCAACCUCAGGGCUGGAGGAAGAGGCUGAACUUAACCUUGAGCCUAAGCAAUGCCCCAGGACACUGAGACACCACACCUCCAAUAAAGAAAAACCAUGAAUGGCAGAAGGAAGAAACCAUUGUGUGGGGGCUAACAAGAAGAAAGAAGUGCUCAGAACCACCACUCACUGUCAGGGUCAUUCAGCAGGCUCAGCUCCUGUCAGCCAGGCAGUCGAGGCUACAGGUCAGGAGGCCACAGGUCCUGUGAAUAAUCCACAUUCCAGACAUCAGCAUUUCACCCACAUGACUCCACCUCUUAUCUGCAGAUGGGACCACCCUGAAAUCACUUUGCUUAUGAAGGAGGAGAAAGGGGGGUGGCCCGUCUCUCUGAGUCCUGCCCCUCCAAAAACACAGCCAUGAAGCCAGGUCUUCAUGAUGGAGCCAUAGCAUUGCAUACUGUUUUCCCAUUUCCCUAGAACAUGUUUCUAAGCUUCCAGGUGUUACCAGAAAGGGGUCCCAAUCCAGAGCCCACAAGAGAGUUCUUGGAUCUUGCACAAGAAAGAAUUUGAGGCAAAUCCACAGAGUAAAGUGAAAGCAAGUUUAUUAGGAAAGUGAAGGAAUAUAAGAAUGGCUGUUCCAUAGACUGGGCAGCCCAGUCCAAGAAAGGUUAUUUCUGGAUUAUAUGCUAAACAAGGGGUGGAUUAUUCAUGCCUCCCCUUUUUAGACUAUAUAUGGUAACUUCCUUAUCUUGGCAUGGCAUUUGUGAACUGUCAUGGUGCUGGUGGGAGUGUAGCAGUAAGGAUGACCAGAGGUCACACUCAUCGCCAUCUUUGUUUUGGUGGAUUUUGGCCAUCUUCUUUACUACAACCUGUUUUAUCAGCAAUGUGUUUAUGACGUGGAUCUUGUGCCAACCUCUUAUCUCAUCCUGAGACUUAGUAUUUUUAACCUACUGGGAAUGCACUCCAGCAGGUCUCAGCCUUAUUUUACCAAGCCCCUACUCAAGAUGGAGUGGCCCUGGUUCAAAUGGCUCUGACAGAGAUGCAUGCAUUGUGAGAGCCGUCACGAAGGAGGUCAAAGUGUUGAUUUCACAAAAGGAGAUGUGCCCUCUUACUUUCCUUACCUCAAAACAGCUGGGUGAGCCUAGACAUCCUUGGGACCAGGACAUUGUCUCGGCCUCCCAAGGGGUGAUUCCAGGGACCGGGAGGGCAGGCUCAGCUCAGAGCUCCUGGGCAAUCAUCCUCCAUCCUCACAGCCACCCCGGGGAUGAACAUUUCCCCCCAUUUUCCAGACAAGACGCCCAAAUCCCAAAGAACUUUCCCAGAGUUCAUCUCUCAUGGCCUGCAGGAGGGACUGGAAUUAAGGCAGGGCUCUGUCAGGCCUCUGAGCUGAAGCUAAGCCAUUGUAGUCCCUGUGACCUGCAUGUAUACAUCCCGAUGCCCUGCAGGAGCUAAGAGGUCUGGAGCAGCUGAGAAACCACAAAAGAAGUGAAACAGUCAGUUUCUGCCUUAACUGAUUAACCAACUUAUGACAUUCCACCAUGAUGACUUGUUACUGCCCUACCCUAACUGAUCGGUCGACCCUGUGACAUUCUUCUCCUGGACAAUGGAUCUCAUGAUCUCCCCACCAUGCACCUUGUGACCCCUCUCCUGCUGACAACAGAUACCCACAUUCAACUGUAACUUUUCACUGCCUACCCAAGUCCUAUA